GCGCACCAGACGCGAAACUUCGGCAAUGGGGAAACCCUGACCGAGCGACGCCGCGUGUGGGAUGAAGGCCCUUGGGUUGCAAACCACUGUCAGAGGGGAUGAAAUGCCGGAAAGUUAUCUCUCCGGUUUGACAUAGCCUCAGAGGAAGCACGGGCUAAGUUCGUGCCAGCAGCCGCGGUAAGACGAACUGUGCAAACGUUAUUCGGAAUCACUGGGCUUGAAGAGUGCGUAGGCGGUUUCGUAAGUAGGGUGUGAAAGCCCCCGGCUCAACCGGGGAAUUGCGUCCUAAACUGCGAGGCUGGAGUGAGGUAGGGUGUGUGGAACUUCCAGUGGAGCGGUGAAAUGUGUUGAUAUUGGAAGGAACGCCGGUGGCGAAAAGCGACACACUGGACCUUGUCUGACGCUGAGGCACGAAAGCCAGGGGAGCAAAACGGGAUUAGAUACCCGCGUAGU
rnacentral:rRNA from 1 species